rnacentral:lncRNA from 1 species
GUCAAUCUUUUUAAAUUGUUAUGUCAAAUUAGACGAGAAGUUGUGUGAUUUCAAGUAAUGGUGGACAAAUUUGCAUACAAGUUUAAAUACAUCUAUUCCAGAAAUGUGACUGACAUUGAAGUCUGUUGCAGGGGUUCAAAUUAACAUUUAGUACUGGAAGGUCCAAGACCUUUGACUCUCCAAACUGAAAGGUCAACAAUCUAAAUUCCAGGUCCUACUUUUACUUAAAAUAUUUCAUAGCUCAGUAAGAAACAAAAUUAAUGUGCUUUUGGUAUAAGUUAGCUUAUUUCAAUGUCAGUUUUACGGUUGUUCAUGAUAAAUGUAAUUGUCUUGAAUAUCAAGAAUUCCAAGUAAUCUUUUUUUUUUGUAUUGGGGAAGGUGUCACUGUGGGCAUGUUGUUUCAACGAUUGGUAAUUAAUUAUUAAUUAUGCCAUGAUUAUCUCAUGGCUCACACUACUUCAGCUCGAUUUUAAAAGU